UUAAGUUCAGCGGGUAGUCCUACCUGAUUUGAGGCCAGAUGUAAUAAAAACGUCUCCAAUGAAGAAGAACAGGGGUUAGAAAGCAGACGGUAGUCAAGUGGAAUGGCCAUCCGAAGAUGUCCUUAGCGAAAUACUUAUUACGCCAAGUCAAACCAGUCCUCACGACAAGUCCAGCUAAUCAAUUUAAGGUGAGCCAUCAA
rnacentral:misc_RNA from 1 species